ACGCUGGCGGCAGGCUUAACACAUGCAAGUCGAACGGUAGCAGGAGAAAGCUUGCUUUCUUGCUGACGAGUGGCGGACGGGUGAGUAAUGCUUGGGAAUCUGGCUUAUGGAGGGGGAUAACUACGGGAAACUGUAGCUAAUACCGCGUAGUGUCGAGAGACGAAAGUGCGGGACCGCAAGGCCGCAUGUCAUGAGAUGAGCCCAAGUGGGAUUAGGUAGUUGGUGGGGUAAGGGCCUACCAAGCCUGCGAUCUCUAGCUGGUCUGAGAGGAUGGCCAGCCACACUGGAACUGAGACACGGUCCAGACUCCUACGGGAGGCAGCAGUGGGGAAUAUUGCGCAAUGGGGGGAGCCCUGACGCAGCCAUGCCGCGUGAAUGAAGAAGGCCUUCGGGUUGUAAAGUUCUUUCGGUAUUGAGGAAGGUUGAUGUGUUAAUAGUACAUCAAAUUGACGUUAAAUACAGAAGAAGCACCGGCUAACUCCGUGCCAGCAGCCGCGGUAAUACGGAGGGUGCGAGCGUUAAUCGGAAUAACUGGGCGUAAAGGGCACGCAGGCGGUUAUUUAAGUGAGGUGUGAAAGCCCCGGGCUUAACCUGGGAAUUGCAUUUCAGACUGGGUAACUAGAGUACUUUAGGGAGGGGUAGAAUUCCACGUGUAGCGGUGAAAUGCGUAGAGAUGUGGAGGAAUACCGAAGGCGAAGGCAGCCCCUUGGGAAUGUACUGACGCUCAUGUGCGAAAGCGUGGGGAGCAAACAGGAUUAGAUACCCUGGUAGUCCACGCUGUAAACGCUGUCGAUUUGGGGAUUGGGCUUAAAGCUUGGUGCCCGUAGCUAACGUGAUAAAUCGACCGCCUGGGGAGUACGGCCGCAAGGUUAAAACUCAAAUGAAUUGACGGGGGCCCGCACAAGCG
rnacentral:rRNA from 1 species